CUCAAACGCUACUUUCUCUCUCCUUCCGCCCCUCUCUCUCUCCUUCCGCCUCCGUCUCUCUCUCUCCUUUCUCCGAUGGCGUCCGACAAUUCCAUCCUCCUUCUCGUCCUCAUCUCCGUCACGAUCUACACCAUCUCCGCCUACAACAUCAAUGGAGGCGCGGUUGGUUUCGGCUGGUCGGACAAGGAGAUACAAGCAGGUGAAGGUGAUAGUAGGAGUUUCGCUGAGUUUAGACAAUGAGAUACAAGCAGGUGAAGGUGAAGGUUAUGUUUAGGUAUAUUGAGAUUCUUCUGAAUUUCAGUAAGUGAUUCAUUUUGAGAAGAAAAAAUAUUUGAUUUAUAACUUGAUUUUCGUUGUUGAUUUUUUAUAUUAGGUUAUUUGGAUUUUGUCGAAAAUUUGGACGAUUUCAGGUUGUUUGGUUAGGAUUGCGUGAAAAAAUGGAAGGUCAAAGCUCCUCCCGAGAUGUAAUCUCGGCCUUGUUGUCGUCUCCAGAUGCAGCUAGGGUUCCGACGAGAAGUUAGGGUUCAAGUGAACGAAUAAAUGCUAGACCUAGUUACACAGAUCGUGAUUAUGGCGUGCCUCAUAUAGCAUCAUCAUCUUCGGAAGAAGUUUGAUGUAAGUAUGGCUCAAAGCAGCAAGCAGGAUCUUUGGUGUCAUUACAAGGACCUCAUGUUGAUCAAGCUCUUUCUGCCAAGUAGCAGCAUCCCAAAAAUCAACACCCAUAUCCCCCCCAAUACUUGCCCACCUUUAAGUCCGUAUGUAUCUCAUUGACUUCUGCUUGUUGCGUAACCAGAACAACAGUAGGCACUAAGAAUACGGCAAUAUUGGACUGUGCAGGCCGGUGAAGGGAAUGAGCAAAACUUCGAAGAAGCAUGACAACAAUCAAUGUCUUUCCCGAACCGGUCUCCAAGAACACAAUAGUGUUUUAGAAGCUCGUAAGGGUAGUAAGAAGGUGGUCUGAUAUGCUCUUGUUUCAUAUGCAGAAAUCAAGGCAAGCAUCUGAUAAAUCAUAAGGUGUAUGAUUUCAGGAGGAUAUCCUCCUUUUGGUUUCGGCGAUUCGGUGCGGCCUGGUGGUCUGCGGUGGAAGCUCUGUCGCCGCCUCUGCUGAUAUUACCUAGUUCAAGUUGUUGGUUGUUGUUGUUGAUGCAAUCUUUGAAGAGUAGUGUUAGCUCAUGUUGCUUUGGUGGUGUUGUUAUUUGUUUUAGUUAUGAUUAAUUCAUUUUAGUUAAGAAUAAUUUCGUCUUAGUUAAACUUUUGUUAUAUUUAGUUAUGAGAAAAAGUGUUUGAUUACUUUAUUUUAUAUUUAAGUCAUUUUUGUUUUAGUUUAAAAAUUGUAUUGUUUUAGUUACAUAUUUUUUAUAUUUAGUUAUAAAAUAAA